rnacentral:tRNA from 1 species
UGGCUCAGACGGUAAAGUGUCUGCCUACAGUGCAGGAGACCCAGGUUCAAUCCCUGG